ACUGGACUAAUUAUGAUUCCCUACAUAGAGUAUUCCAAUUUGUCUCUUUUUGCCUUUGUACAGGCUGUCCUCGAAGAUGUUCAACUGACGUCUAUUCUCUAGAAUUACUUCCUUCAAAACUCAGCUCCACUGCUACUUCCUGCAUGAAGUCUUUUCUGAUAUAUUCAGGUGUCAGCAUCCUUACCUUCCCUCAGUUAUUCUGCAUAGCACCUGAAGCACCCCCUCUUCCCUAAUCCUGGCCACAUUUAACCACUUUAACAGAAGCUCUCCAUCUCCCUCUUUUCCGAAAUUAUGCCUGCCUCAAGA
rnacentral:lncRNA from 1 species